UAGUAUUUAUGGUCCAUUCUACAGAAGAGUACAUGAAGCUGUUCCUCACUAUGUCCUGUGUGCUGCUUCUAGGCUUGAUAUGGGAAUGAAAAAAUGAUGUACGCAGUAGUGAAUCACUCUACAACGCCAAAAAGACCCCAAGAAUCAAAGGAGCCGGAGGAUGAAAAAAUUUUGUAUGCAAUAGUGACUCACUCAACAACGCCAAAAAUAUCCCAAGUAUCAAGGGAACCGGAGGUUGUUUAUGCUGAUGUUAAAAAACAAUGACGUAUAAUUGUACAUUUAAGAAGAGAGAUACGUCCAUCAUCAAACAUUGUUUUUUUCACAAUUCAAUAUAGCAAACCUCUCCUGCUCUGGACAAUUCCUGACAUGGACAGAGGGGGUAGUAGAAAGCACUGUGUCUCACUGGAAAGAACUACAGGACAUCCUCCAGGGCAUUCAGCAACUCAUCUGGAAAUAUUUUUUUAUUUUUAUAAAAGUUAUUUACAAAUCUGUAUAAUUUUUUAUUAAAAUACAUCCCCUACAAAUAUAUUUUCCCAAUAUAGUUAAUAAGUUUCUGAUGGGGGAGGGGUAUUGGCUUAGGGCCCUCUCUACCCGCCCUGACACCUUUUUUCCCAUUCAAUAGGGCAACAUCAGUCUAUUGUUGUUUAUGUACAUAGGGCUUGCUGUAAAGCAAAUGUCUAAAUGCUGGUAAAACUCAACUCU